UGCCAGCAGCCGCGGUAAUACGGAGGAUGCAAGCGUUAUCCGGAUUUAUUGGGUUUAAAGGGUGCGUAGGCGGAAAAUUAAGUCAGUGGUGAAAUCCUGCAGCUUAACUGUAGAAUUGUCAUUGAUACUGGUUUUCUUGAAUACAGUUGAGGUAGGCGGAAUGAGUAAUGUAGCGGUGAAAUGCUUAGAUAUUACUCAGAACACCAAUUGCGAAGGCAGCUUACUAAACUGUGAUUAACGCUGAGGCACGAAAGCGUGGGGAGCGAACAGGAUUAGAUACCCUGGUAGUCCACGCCGUAAACGAUGAUCACUCGUUGUUGGCAAUACACCGUCAGCGACUGAGCGAAAGUAUUAAGUGAUCCACCUGGGGAGUACGAUUGCAAGAUUGAAACUCAAAGGAAUUGACGGGGGCCCGCACAAGCGGAGGAACAUGUGGUUUAAUUCGAUGAUACGCGAGGAACCUUACCUGGGCUUAAAUGCAUAACGACGGAUCGGGAAACUGGUCUUUCUUCGGACGGAAUGCAAGGUGCUGCAUGGCUGUCGUCAGCUCGUGCCGUGAGGUGUCGGGUUAAGUCCCAUAACGAGCGCAACCCUCAUCAUUAGUUGCCAGCGGGUAAUGCCGGGGACUCUAAUGAAACUGCCGGUGUAAACCGAGAGGAAGGCGAGGAUGACGUCAAGUCAGCACGGCCCUUAUGUCCAGGGCUACACACGUGUUACAAUGGUCAGUACAAAGGGCAGCUACCAGGCAACUGGAUGCUAAUCUCAAAAGCUGGUCACAGUUCGGAUCGGAGUCUGCAACUCGACUUCGUGAAGUU
rnacentral:rRNA from 1 species